GUUGGUUGAAGAAAAGACUUUUGCCAUUCUGUAUCCUACUUGCUGGAAAUGGGAUUGGUUAUCACUGAAUAUCUUUAUCUUGUUUAUUUUAAUUUCGUUAAUCCCUAUCAGUGAUGUAAUUGAUACUGCAUAUUACUUCUGUAUAGUUAUCUUGUGUUUCCUUUUCUAUUUACUACUCUCCUGUUUCCUGUAUCUUAUAUUAGAUUUGACAUGUGGUGACUGGUAAGUGUGCCUUUAUAAUGUGUUGCAAUUAAUGAGAUCUUGUCUAUUUUGACUUUCUUUUUAUUAGCAUGUCUUAUAGUUUUUAGCAGCCAAUUUUCCAGUUUAUAUUUCAAAUUUGAGAUUUUUUUUUGGCUAAGGAAUUAGUUGGUAGUUGUAUUAGGAUGUUAAUUUCACUACGAGUUUUGACUCCUUAACCAUUAGUGCUUGAUUGGGCAUGUCUGGGGCAGCGAAGCUGUGUUCUUGAUGACAGUUAUUGCUUUUCAAGGAUACCAAUUGAAGGC
rnacentral:misc_RNA from 1 species